CUGGCGGCGUGCCUAUCAUGCAAGUCGAGCGGACAGAUGGGAGCUUGCUCCCUGAUGUUAGCGGCGGACGGGUGAGUAACACGUGGGUAACCUGCCUGUAAGACUGGGAUAACUCCGGGAAACCGGGGCUAAUACCGGAUGGUUGUUUGAACCGCAUGGUUCAGACAUAAAAGGUGGCUUCGGCUACCACUUACAGAUGGACCCGCGGCGCAUUAGCUAGUUGGUGAGGUAACGGCUCACCAAGGCAACGAUGCGUAGCCGACCUGAGAGGGUGAUCGGCCACACUGGGACUGAGACACGGCCCAGACUCCUACGGGAGGCAGCAGUAGGGAAUCUUCCGCAAUGGACGAAAGUCUGACGGAGCAACGCCGCGUGAGUGAUGAAGGUUUUCGGAUCGUAAAGCUCUGUUGUUAGGGAAGAACAAGUGCCGUUCAAAUAGGGCGGCACCUUGACGGUACCUAACCAGAAAGCCACGGCUAACUACGUGCCAGCAGCCGCGGUAAUACGUAGGUGGCAAGCGUUGUCCGGAAUUAUUGGGCGUAAAGGGCUCGCAGGCGGUUUCUUAAGUCUGAUGUGAAAGCCCCCGGCUCAACCGGGGAGGGUCAUUGGAAACUGGGGAACUUGAGUGCAAAAGAGGAGAGUGGAAUUCCACGUGUACGGUGAAAUGCGUAAAGAUGUGGAGGAACACCAUGGCGAAGGCGACUCUCUGGUCUGUAACUGACCUGAGACGAAAGC
rnacentral:rRNA from 1 species